rnacentral:lncRNA from 1 species
CAAAGAUUGUAUGGUAUGUAAGAUGUAAUCAUUGUUUUACUGUUUAUUUUAUAUACAGGUCUGGAAAAUUUAAUAGAUGAGAGUUGCAAAACUUGCAAAUCUUGCUCAUAUUAAACCUCACGUAUGUUUUUCGUAUGAUAGCCAAUAUAAUUAUAACUAGGAGCUAGAGUAUAACCAUGCACAUGUCGAAGUACAACCAUUGGCAUACAAUGCAGUGCUCGAUCUACAUGCAACAGUGCAUAAAUUGCAGGAUGACCUUAUUAUAUACUCGUACUCAUUGACUCUCAUUAUCAUAGUCUCCUACUGUUGUUCUAACAGCAAUUAGGCUUUGAGAAGCCAUGUAUAUUAUAGAUUAAUUUGUAGCCCAGCCACCAUAGUCCAUAUAAAUUGUAGCCCAGCCUCCACAUUUUACACCAAUAAAUAAUGAAAUUAACCAGUAACUCAAUUUUGUUGCUGGUAGUGUAAUGGAAUCUAUGGGUCUUUCAUAACCCAGAAUUGCCUAAUUAUUGUAAAGUCUGCAUAAAGCAGAAAAAGGCUCUGUUUUUAUUAAUGACCGGAGCCUAUUGAGUGACUAAAUAUUGUCAGCCUAAUCCACUUAUUUGAUUUAUCCAUGUUGCAUUACUUUUGAUUGCAAAACACCUGGAUUAUACAUGAUUUGCCAGCAAAAUAGCAGCAAUUGAUAAACUUGAGAAGAUUAUUGACUGAAUGUAUCAAACAGAAUGCAUGUUGGCGAGUUAAUGCGAUUUUAAGCAUGGGCGUACGGGAAGGAAAAUAUUAGGGGGUUGGAAAGAAGUGAUUGGGGGGGGGGAGAAGUGAUUACAAAAAAUUCCUAUUAGAUAGCACAUUUCCCACAUAAUUGACAGAUAAACCAAUAUUAAAUAAACCAUGAUAAACCAAUAUUGCCCGACUGUGAAGCGAAUAUUGCCCGGCUGGCUUUGUUUGCCCAACAAAGCCAGGGGGCGACCACCCAGCCUGAAACUGGGUGGGGGUGGGGGACGGGGCAACCGCCCCCCCCCCCAGUUUCUGGCUGGGUGGUCGCCCCCUGGUAUGCCCAUGAUUUUAAGCGAUUUUAGGCGAUUUAAAGCGAUUUUAGGCGAUUUAAGAGAAAUUUGACCAUUUUAACCCGCGAUUUUAGGCGAUUUUGGGCGAUUUUAGGCGAUUUAAGGCGAUUUACCGCCCCAGAGUAGGCCUUUUAAAAUUGACGCCAUAUUUACAGCCAUUAUAAGCACUAUAACUUCCUGAACUUCAGACAUCAUUUUCUCUUUGGCGUAUCAUCUAAAAUCUCUUCAUUUUAACAUUAUUUUACAGAUAAAGCACUAAACAUACUUUUUAAGUUUGUUUGCCGAUUGAGAAACGUAUCGAAAAAUAAAAAUUUUGAAUUUAGUCAUAACGUCAAGUGGUAUUUAAUAUUAAUAUAUUAUACACAUUAGUUUUGAGCGCGUGUUACGUAACAUACAAAAAAAUCUCCUCUUAAUGUUCUCCCAAUCUGGCUGAAUUUGCCUUUUCAAAUGUUCCUUAGUCUAUGGGGCAGGCGAUUUUUUUGUUCCUCAAAAGUGCAUUAAAAACAAUAGAAAAUUCGACAUUACGUCAUUAUGUCGCAACCACAAAGUACACUGCGCUUUCUAUGCGCAGAACACAAAUUUUAAACUCGCUCGAGUCUUCGAAUUUUUAUCGAAUUUCUAAAGCUUUUUCAAGUCUAAUGUUACGCUUACGUUUGUUUUGGACUUUGGCCACUGUCAGUUCUAUAUUUUUAUGAAGUUUUGGUUUCUUAGUGUGAUAAAUCUGUGUAUAUAGUCUAUAUAUAAUGUGGUAAAUGCGCCAAGCAGUAAACGGACUUGAUAUGAAAUCUGAUCUUAAUUUACCUGUAUGUCAAUGAGACGCACAUGUUUAAUAUCUGUCACCUCUGAUUGCCUUUUAACCCCUUGUCUUUGCUACUUCAAUAUAUAUUGCUUCUUCUCAGUUCCAUUCACAGCUCACUAGUCGCUGCGAGCACGAGUAAUCACUGUGCUUGAUAUAAUUUGUGCUUUUUACUGUAGUUCUAUUUGCUUUUAAUGCCCGCAGCAAUCCCUACCUUGCAGGUACCCUAGUUGUUACCGUUAAAAUACCAAAAUUUUUACCGUUUACUGAUUUUCAGACUCUCCCCCCCCCCCCCGCCCCUCCCAUCUAGAUCCUCUAUUUAUGUUACAUGUCUCAAAUGACAUGAUGAUAUGAUGAUGUCUUGAUUCUCCCAAUAACGUAAUGUGUGAAAAAUUGUUUCUCUGGACCCGAGAUCGCUCUUUCGAUCCUCACUGUAAUCUGUAUAGACAGCAUAUAUGAUUGAACUGAUUUAGUCUAUGACUAUGAUCAAUUUCUUUUAUCAAACUUUAUCUUCGUAGAGUCGGAGUCCGAAACAUCGAACGCAAGGACUAUAGCUGUUGCUGUUGGCGUCACAUUGGCAGUCUUAGUUGUUGUAAUGUUUGGAAUAACGCUGUUUUUGAAGAUCAGGAAAAAUAAGUACGUUUUGUGGGACAAAUAUAGUUCAAUCGUUCCCACUCGUCCGAGUUGACUAACUCACUGCUGUUCGUUAUGUGUCAAGGUCAGGGGUAGGGUCCCUAGGAUCAGGGUUAGAGUUAGAGUCAGGGUUAAGGUCAGGGUCAGGAUUAGGGUCAGGUUAGGGUCAGGGUUAGGGAAGUGUGACGUCAUCCGCAACGAACGGCCGUGAAGUCAACACUGACACAGUCAUUUUCCCAAAUUUAUUUUAAUUCUAUUCUCGUCAUUUUUAGGUUACGCCGAAAUAUGCGUGCACAUGCAGAGGUACGUACCAGUCGGUCAGCAGAGGUACGUUACUGUCGGUCAGCAAGCGUACCAGUCGGUCAGCAGCUUUUCCGUUUAUCCACAAG